UACGUAGGGUGCAAGCGUUAAUCGGAAUUACUGGGCGUAAAGCGUGCGCAGGCGGUUUUGUAAGUCAGAUGUGAAAUCCCCCGGGCUUAACCUGGGAACUGCGUUUGAAACUACAAGGCUAGAGUGUGGCAGAGGGGGGUGGAAUUCCACGUGUAGCAGUGAAAUGCGUAGAGAUGUGGAGGAACACCGAUGGCGGAAGGCAGCCCCCUGGGUUAACACUGACGCUCAGGCACGAAAGCGUGGGGAGCAAACAGG
rnacentral:rRNA from 1 species